CUUAUUUUAUUAGCAAAUGGGAUAUUGCCCUGGUUUUAAGCUCAUGAAUCUUUUCUUCUGAGAGCAGAUGCAGGCUUUGUAUAGAAUUGGAAAGGGUGAGCGGCCGCUUGUUCCUGACUCUCUUUCAAGAGAUGCGCGAGAUUUUAUCCUGCAGUGCCUUCAAGUCAAUCCUAAUGAUCGUCCCACUGCUGCUCAGCUUUUAAACCAUCAAUUUGUCCAAAGGCCACUUUCCACAUUCUCUGGCUCUGCAUCUCCUUAUAUACCUGCCAGAAGGGGUUGAAUUUAGCUGGUCGUCUCAAAGUAUGAAACAUUUGGCUCUGUUCGCCAAUUUUCAAAUUGCUGGAGUUAGUCUCGGAUCCACCAUCCCUGCAAAUCUCCAAUUGCUGCUUGUGCUGUGCAUUUUAGGUUUUUCCUUCUCAACAAUUAUCUUGGAUCUAAGAAACGAUCCGGGCCUCCCCAAAACCAACUAAACAAGUUGGUUCUGAUAUCUUUUUCACUGAGGAGGAUCGAGCAGCUUUCUGAACCACUUGAAUUAAACUUUUGGUUGCUUGUUUGAGGGAUGCUCUGUUUGUAUUUAAUUAUUCAAUGAUGGUUGUAGCUAGGCAGUGAAUCAACUUCGAGCUGUAAAAAGUUGUGCCUGAAUUGGUUAGUGGUGAGAGAUUUGUGUAUGUUUAGCCCGAGCGAUUAGUGUAUGGGUAGUGUAUUUUUUUGUACAUAUUACCUUCAUUGGCAUGCGUCGUGAGUCUGAAUUUACAUCUCUUCAAAGUUAUUAUUUGUCAAUCUUAUUCAUAUCUUGUAAUGAAUUGUCAGGUAAAGUAAAUUAGUUAUGAUUUAUAGACAGUUGAGA